rnacentral:rRNA from 1 species
GACGAACGCUGGCGGCGUGCCUAAUACAUGCAAGUCGAGCGGACGAAUCGAAAGCUUGCUUUUGAUUCGUUAGCGGAGGACGGGUGAGUAACACGUGGGCAACCUGCCCUGUAGACGGGGAUAACACCGAGAAAUCGGUGCUAAUACCGGAUAACACGAAAUGUCGCAUGACGUUUCGUUGAAAGACGGCGCAAGCUGUCGCUACAGGAUGGGCCCGCGGCGCAUUAGCUAGUUGGUGAGGUAACGGCUCACCAAGGCGACGAUGCGUAGCCGACCUGAGAGGGUGAUCGGCCACACUGGGACUGAGACACGGCCCAGACUCCUACGGGAGGCAGCAGUAGGGAAUCUUCCGCAAUGGACGAAAGUCUGACGGAGCAACGCCGCGUGAGCGAAGAAGGCCUUCGGGUCGUAAAGCUCUGUUGUUAGGGAAGAACAAGUAACGCAGUAACUGGCGUUACCGUGACGGUACCUAACGAGAAAGCCACGGCUAACUACGUG